AACGAGCGCUGGCGGCAUGCCUAACACAUGCAAGUCGAACGAGACCUUCGGGUCUAGUGGCGCACGGGUGCGUAACGCGUGGGAACCUGCCCUUAGGUUCGGAAUAACUCCCCGAAAGGGGUGCUAAUACCGGAUAAUGUCUUCGGACCAAAGAUUUAUCGCCUUUGGAUGGGCCCGCGUUGGAUUAGCUAGUUGGUAGGGUAAAAGCCUACCAGGGCGACGAUCCAUAGCUGGUCUGAGAGGAUGAUCAGCCACACUGGGACUGAGACACGGCCCAGACUCCUACGGGAGGCAGCAGUGGGGAAUAUUGGACAAUGGGCGAAAGCCUGAUCCAGCAAUGCCGCGUGAGUGAUGAAGGCCUUAGGGUUGUAAAGCUCUUUUACCCGGGAUGAUAAUGACAGUACCGGGAGAAUAAGCUCCGGCUAACUCCGUG
rnacentral:rRNA from 1 species